rnacentral:rRNA from 1 species
AACGAACGCUGGCGGCAUGCCUAACACAUGCAAGUCGAACGAGAUCUUCAGGUCCAGUGGCGCACGGGUGCAUAACGCGUGGGAAUCUGCCCUUUGGUUCGGAAUAACAGUUGGAAACGACUGCUAAUACCGGAUGAUGACGAAAGUCCAAAGAUUUAUCGCCAGAGGAUGAGCCCGCGUAGGAUUAGCUAGUUGGUGUGGUAAAGGCGCACCAAGGCGACGAUCCUUAGCUGGUCUGAGAGGAUGAUCAGCCACACUGGGACUGAGACACGGCCCAGACUCCUACGGGAGGCAGCAGUGGGGAAUAUUGGACAAUGGGCGAAAGCCUGAUCCAGCAAUGCCGCGUGAGUGAUGAAGGCCUUAUGGUUGUAAAGCUCUUUUACCCGGGAUGAUAAUGACAGUACCGGGAGAAUAAGCUCCGGCUAACUCCGUGCCAGCAGCCGCAGUAA